rnacentral:misc_RNA from 1 species
GUUCGAACAAAAUUCAUAUUAUGUAGGUUAAAAAUUCGUCUGGAGACACAAUCAGUUCAAAAGUCAAGCACAUAAUAAAAGACAACAGAAAAUAGACAAAUCCAUGACUGGCAACAGAAAGUUGCAAGAGUUGCAACAUAUUACACAUCCCUACAAACAUCAUAAAACCCCCAUAUACUAUCUUCCUUCUUACACAUUAUCUUCAGCAUCCUCUUCUUCCUCGUCGUAAUAUUCCUCAUCAGCUGUGGCGUCUUGGUACUGCUGGUACUCAGAAACCAGAUCAUUCAUGUUACUUUCAGCCUCAGUAAACUCCAUCUCGUCCAUACCUUCACCUGUGUACCAAUGCAAG